rnacentral:rRNA from 1 species
AGAGUGACAGGUGGUGCAUGGUUGUCGUCAGCUCGUGUCGUGAGAUGUUGGGUUAAGUCCCGCAACGAGCGCAACCCUUGAUCUUAGUUGCCAUCAUUAAGUUGGGCACUCUAAGGUGACUGCCGGUGACAAACCGGAGGAAGGUGGGGAUGACGUCAAAUCAUCAUGCCCCUUAUGACCUGGGCUACACACGUGCUACAAUGGACGGUACAAAGAGCUGCAAGACCGCGAGGUGGAGCUAAUCUCAUAAAACCGUUCUCAGUUCGGAUUGUAGGCUGCAACUCGCCUACAUGAAGCUGGAAUCGCUAGUAAUCGCGGAUCAGCAUGCCGCGGUGAAUACGUUCCCGGGCCUUGUACACACCGCCCGUCACACCACGAGAGUUUGUAACACCCGAAGUCGGUGGGGUAACCUUUAGGGAGCCAGCCGCCUAAGGUGGGACAGA